rnacentral:rRNA from 1 species
UACGGGGGGAGCAAGCGUUGUUCGGAUUUACUGGGCGUAAAGGGCGCGUAGGCGGUCGUGACAAGUCACUUGUGAAAUCUCCGGGCUUAACUCGGAACGGUCAAGUGAUACUGUCGGACUAGAGUACAGAAGGGGCAACUGGAAUUCUCGGUGUAGCGGUGAAAUGCGUAGAUAUCGGGAGGAACACCAGAGGCGAAGGCGGCCACCUGGACAGACACUGACGCUGAGACGCGAAAGCGUGGGGAGCAAACAGG